CUACAAAUAGGUUAAUAUGACCAAAAUUGUCAAUUGACCCCUUAAGGGGUAAAUGUCCUUUAAUGACAAUUUUUCACAAUUUGUUCAUCAUAUUUGCUAACUUUAAAAAAUCUUCUCCUCUGAAACUACUGAAUGGAUUUGGAUGAAACUUAGCAUGAUAGUUCCUUAGAUUAUCCUGCACAAAGUGUGUGCUUUGAUUUUUGAUCCGUCAAAAAACAUGGCCGCCCUUACUUUAAAUAGAACAUAGGGGUCAAAUGCAGUUUUUGGCUUAUAUCUCAAAAACGAAAGCAUUUAGAGCAAAUCUGACAUGGGGUAAAAUGUUCAUUAGGUCAAAAUCUAUCAGCCCUGAAAUUUUCAGACGAAUCAAACAAACCAUUGUUGGGUUGCUGCCACUUAAUUGGUAAUUUUAAGGAAAUUUUGCAGUUUUUAGCUCACCUGGCCUAAAAGGCCAUGUGAGCUUUUCUCAUCACUUGGCGUCCGUCGUCGUCGUCGUCGUUAACAAUUUUUCAAACAUCUUCUCCUCUGAAACUACUGAAUGGAUUUGAAUGAAACUUAGCAUGAUUGUUCCUUAGAGUAUCCUGGACAAAGUGUGUGCUUCGAUUUUUGAUCCGUCAAAAAACAUGGCCGCCGUUACUUAAAAUAGAACAUAGGGGUCAAAUGCAGUUUUUGGCUUAUAUCUCAAAAAUGAAAGCAUUUAGAGCAAAUCUGACAUGGGGUAAAAAUGUUCAUUAGGUCAAGAUCUAUCAGCCCUGAAAUUUUCAGAUGAAUCAAGCAAACCAUUGUUGGGUUGCUGCCACUUAAUUGGUAAUUUUAAGGAAAUUUUGCAGUUUUUGGUCAUUAUCUUGAAUAUUAUUAUAGAUAAAGAUAAACUGUAAACAGCAAAAAUGAUGAUCAGCAAAGUAAGAUCUACAAAUAAGUUAAUAUGACCAAAAUUGUCAAUUGACCCCGUAAGGGGUUAUUGUCCUUUAAUGACAAUUUUCCACAAUUUGUUCAUCAUAUUUGCUAACUUUAAAAAAUCUUCUCCUCUGAAACUGCUGAAUGGAUUUAGAUGAAACUUAGCAUGAUUGUUCCUUAGAUUAUCCUGCACAAAGUGUGUGCUUCGAUUUUUGAUCUGUCAAAAAACAUGGCCGCCGUUACUUAAAAUAGAACAUAGGGGUCAAAUGCAGUUUUUGGCUUAUAUCUCAAAAACGAAAGCAUUUAGAGCAAAUCUGACAUGGGGUAAAAAUGUUCAUUAGGUCAAGAUCUAUCAGCCCUGAAAUUUUCAGAUGAAUCAAACAAACCAUUGUUGGGUUGCUGCCACUUAAUUGGUAAUUUUAAGGAAAUUUUGCAGUUUUUGGUCAUUAUCUUGAAUAUUAUUAUAGAUACAGAUAAACUGUUAAUAGCAAAA
rnacentral:lncRNA from 1 species